rnacentral:tRNA from 1 species
GCCGCUCUCUUCAUAACUCGGCCGAAUGUAAGCGGGUUUGUAAACCGAAGGUCGGGAGUUCAAUCCUCUCCGCCGGCACCA